ACAUCAAAGUACCGCGAGAGUUUUGGGAAAGCCCCGGAAAAGGUUUGAACUCGCGGUACUUGAUGUCACGAUCGGUUUGCGCGUAGAUCAGCAUGAAGUCGAACACAUCUGAAAGAUGUGUGGGCUGCCUGCACUCAACGUUGCGUUCAUUCAUUCAGUAGAGUGUAACCUCAAUCGGUUUUUGCAGCUUCUGGGUGUCGUGUCGAACGAUCACAGAACGAUUUUUUGUUCUUUUCCAACUCGAUUUUUAACUCCUUAAACUAGUAGGAUGUUCCAACGGGUGAAGCAACAGUGCUUCAGUGACGGAGUUUCAGUGUCAAGUUUUCAUGCCAUGACCACUGGGGCGGAAACCAUGACGUUGCCUUGGACUUCAAACUAAACCAUCUCAUUCUGGCUUUUUUCUAACCUCGAAAUCUCAGAAGGACAGGUCUAAUGGACGCAGCCUCCAUAGGAUGCAACCUUGCAUUUGAGAAACACCCCUAGAACGGUCAACUUACCCCAUACUCUAACCUGAAUGCAGGGAUCAUAAAACUUUAUCUUUUACCUUAAUUGUUAGAUGGGUGUUGAUACCAAACUUUUUUUUUCUCGUCUACCCAGGAGAAAGUCAUGGGUUCUGCUGAAUUCUGGCUUGAUGUUUGGUCCACCUGUUAGCUGGCUCUGGUGCUUGGUAGUCUUCUCAAACCUCUGAAUCAAGACCACCAUGAGAGGCCUUCUGAAGACCAUCAUUACGCUGCAGAUCCAGUGGUCUUUACUAUGAGGUAAAUCUUUUUUAACUGCAGCAUUGAGCGUUAUGUGCGCGGUUUAUGUGCACUGAAUGCCUUUUGCCCUCUCCUGCAACAUGCAUUUUUUAAGGAGCGCUAAGAGCGGAAAAGCACCCGACGUCAUUUGUGUCUUUCCUUUGUCCAAUUGAAUAUGGGGAGAGGCGGGCCUUUCGUUGUAGGGACCGAUGUUUACAGUUAUUUGAAACAACCAUACUUCAGUCACUUACUGUCUCCUGUGUGUUUAUGCACCUCUCACCUUCGUUCAA